rnacentral:rRNA from 1 species
AGAGUUUGAUCCUGGCUCAGGACGAACGCUGGCGGCGCGCCUAACACAUGCAAGUCGAACGGAGCUUAGAGAGCUUGCUUUUUAAGCUUAGUGGCGAACGGGUGAGUAACGCGUGAGUAACCUGCCCUAGAGUGGGGGACAACAGUUGGAAACGACUGCUAAUACCGCAUAAGCCCACGGUACCGCAUGGUACUGAGGGAAAAGGAUUUAUUCGCUUUAGGAUGGACUCGCGUCCAAUUAGCUAGUUGGUGAGGUAACGGCCCACCAAGGCGACGAUUGGUAGCCGGACUGAGAGGUUGAACGGCCACAUUGGGACUGAGACACGGCCCAGACUCCUACGGGAGGCAGCAGUGGGGGAUAUUGCACAAUGGGGGAAACCCUGAUGCAGCGACGCCGCGUGGAGGAAGAAGGUUUUCGGAUUGUAAACUCCUGUCGUUAGGGACGAUAAUGACGGUACCUAACAAGAAAGCACCGGCUAACUACGUGCCAGCAGCCGCGGUAAAACGUAGGGUGCAAGCGUUGUCCGGAAUUACUGGGUGUAAAGGGAGCGCAGGCGGAUUGGCAAGUUGGGAGUGAAAUCUAUGGGCUCAACCCAUAAAUUGCUUUCAAAACUGUUUUUCUUGAGUAGUGCAGAGGUAGAUGGAAUUCCCGGUGUAGCGGUGGAAUGCGUAGAUAUCGGGAGGAACACCAGUGGCGAAGGCGGUCUACUGGGCACCAACUGACGCUGAGGCUCGAAAGCAUGGGUAGCAAACAGGAUUAGAUACCCUGGUAGUCCAUGCCGUAAACGAUGAUUACUAGGUGUUGGGGGAUUGACCCCCUCAGUGCCGCAGUUAACACAAUAAGUAAUCCACCUGGGGAGUACGACCGCAAGGUUGAAACUCAAAGGAAUUGACGGGGGCC